UACGUAGGCAGCGAGCGUUGUUCGGAAUUACUGGGCGUAAAGAGUGUGUAGGCGGUGCUCUAAGUCUGUUGUGAAAUCUCCCGGCUCAACUGGGAGGGUGCGGCGGAAACUGGAGUGCUCGAGUGUGGGAGAGGUAAGCGGAAUUCCUGGUGUAGCGGUGAAAUGCGUAGAUAUCAGGAAGAACACCCGUGGCGAAGGCGGCUCUCUGGAACGCAACUGACGCUGAGACGCGAAAGCGUGGGGAGCAAACAGG
rnacentral:rRNA from 1 species